AGUAAAAUGCCUGAAAUUAAAGGGUUAUCUUGAUAGGAUAAAUAAUGUGUUUAAUACUUUUACUA
rnacentral:tRNA from 1 species